rnacentral:rRNA from 1 species
UACGUAGGGUGCAAGCGUUGCUCGGAAUUAUUGGGCGUAAAGAGCUCGUAGGCGGUCUGUCGCGUCUGGUGUGAAAACUCAGGGCUUAACCCUGAGCUUGCAUCGGGUACGGGCAGACUAGAGUGCGGUAGGGGAGACUGGAAUUCCUGGUGUAGCGGUGGAAUGCGCAGAUAUCAGGAGGAACACCGAUGGCGAAGGCAGGUCUCUGGGCCGCAACUGACGCUGAGGAGCGAAAGCAUGGGGAGCGAACAGG